rnacentral:rRNA from 1 species
UAGGGAAUCUUCGGCAAUGGACGAAAGUCUGACCGAGCAACGCCGCGUGAGUGAAGAAGGUUUUCGGAUCGUAAAACUCUGUUGUUAGAGAAGAACAAGGACGUUAGUAACUGAACGUCCCCUGACGGUAUCUAACCAGAAAGCCACGGCUAACUACGUGCCAGCAGCCGCGGUAAUACGUAGGUGGCAAGCGUUGUCCGGAUUUAUUGGGCGUAAAGCGAGCGCAGGCGGUUUCUUAAGUCUGAUGUGAAAGCCCCCGGCUCAACCGGGGAGGGUCAUUGGAAACUGGGAGACUUGCGUGCAGAAGAGGAGAGUGGAAUUCCAUGUGUAGCGGUGAAAUGCGUAGAUAUAUGGAGGAACACCAGUGGCGAAGGCGGCUCGCUGGUCUGUAACUGACGCUGAGGCUCGAAAGCGUGGGGAGCAAACAGG